CCUUUCCCUUCGUACUUUUGAGCCUCCCCGGGGUCGGGGUGCUGUAGGCUGACACCCCCGUUUGCAGACUUGGCUGGGCACACCGGCACGGACCCGGUCCCGCAGGAACCCCUCGCCGUCACCUCACCUUCCCUCAGGGAAGGCCCUCUGCAUCUCCCGGCAUGAGAGUGGGAAGUGAAAUUUUUCCGUGGUCCAGCAGCCGUGGGAGGACGGUGAUGUCUCUGCCGGAGCCCCGACCGCUGGCAGCCCCUGCGGCAGGGAUGUCCGUCAGCAUCUCCAGCCGAGGACCCGACAGCACUUGUGUCUCAUCCCAGGUCCCACGGGCACCCCGAGGGGGAGGCACGGUGGGACGCGGUUCCCGGUGACUGUGUGUGACCGGGGCUCUGUGCCUGUUCUGGAGGACCUUCCUUCACCAGGAUCUGGGCACAGCUGGGUCGGCAUGGUCAUGUCCCAUCCUGUCUCAUCCCAUCCCAUCUAUCCUAUCCCAUGCCAUCCUACCUGUGCCAUGUCAUCCUGUCCUUCCCCUCUCAUUUCACUCCAUCCCCAUCUCCAUCCCCAUCUCCAUCCCCAUCCCCAGCUGUGGGUCCCGACCUGGGUACACCCCGUAGCCAAGAGCUCAAAGGCCGUAACGCUGGCCCAGUCUGAGAGCUCUUGCCUUCCCUGGGGAGCUCUGCAGAUUUCCAGUCCGAGCUGAGAUGUUGUGGGAAUGUGCUGGCCGUGCAGUUUGAUGGGGACUCGACAGAAUCAGCCAAAUCUCAAGUCAAACCAGACGCAACAGGCAAGACCUGGGCCGAGUGCGGCCGCACGGCUCCUGAGCAUCCUGCUCCAGCUGCUGUUGGGUGAGCCCAGACGCUGGGUCACAAGAGGUAAACCCGCCGAUGAAUUAAGCCUGACAUGUGGCCUUGAGCUUCAGGGGGUAGUUAAUUUUUCAAUUUCUUUCAUGGAUCUGGAAUAGCAAGAGUUUGUUUAUAAUUAAAGUACUUGAAGAUUUAUACUUUAAUUCAAAUAGCUGAAAAGAAGCAGUUUCUGUGUAGGUUUCUUCACUAUCAGAAUCUAAAACAGAUUAUUAUGUAAAUUUUUUUGAUCCUAAAUUCAUUAUAAUAUUCAAUUUCAGGAAAUGCUCUUGACCAUCUGCUACUGCUCUAAGAAACGAGUCUUGGAGAUUGUUUACUACCAGAAAUAUUGUAGGUAUUUAGGGUAGAUCGCAGUGGAGUGUAAGGGCAAAGUACUGAUUUUGGAGUCUGGUUAUAUAAGCCCGUAACGCCGAAGCCACGAGCUGAGCAAGUUGGAAAGCGCAUCCGCAACGGCGGCAGCUUCUGCUCUGCCAGCAUCCCGUCCCAUCCCGGCUCACAGCACCGGUGCCACCCCCCCUUCCCCAUCCGCAGCGCGGUCCUGUCUGUGCACGGAGGGUACCGGUCCUUCUCGGUCUUGUAGGGAGGCAGUACGGAUUAAUUCCUGGUCUUAAUAGAAGUGGUUUGAGAUCCCUGGGAUGGAAAGUACCGUGAAAGUAUCAUUUGCUGUUUGUUGUAACCUCCAAACUUGCCAAGAGAAGCCACGUGCUGAUCCCCAGCGAGCUUUCCCUCUUGGUGAUUAGAGCAAGAGGGGACGAAAAGCGGGGAGAAGCCCUCGUCACCCGCACGUGCGCAGGACCCGGGGGGCCCAGCAGUACCACUGAGCUGCGUGGAAGAAUAAUCUAUUUUUUCCGGUGUAUUUUACUACCAAAGCUUGUAUGUCGUUAGCGGUGUCAGGUGCAAUGGAUGAAGCCCAGGAGCGGCGAUACGGACGUGCUGCAGAACGGGCUCGUGUCCCGAGGUGCCGCUCCUCCCCAGCUCCCAGCACUCGCCGUCGCUGCCAUUAUUCAGCCUCUGCAAGACACUAAAAGAUGUUGCUGCCCCGCUGCUUGCUCCCACACGUUUAGGUUUGGCUUUGUAUGGAGGAGGAAUGUAUUAAACACGGUUUCUUUUUUUUUUUUUUUCCACCGCAGCCUCGUUCAACAAGUGCAGCACCCACGGGGCCGGCGGCUGCUGCCUAUCGAUCGGGGCCGGGGCCGUGCCUGCCCUUCCCAGCGACUGCGCCCAGUAUUGACGGAUCGAAGCGACGAGCGGGGCCGAGGCUGGGAAGCAACGGCUGCUGGCGGGGAGCGGGAGGGGGCCGCGGCGGGGGCAUCCCCAGGGCUCGUACUCCCGCUGGACCGGCAGCCGAGCAUCACCCGAGCAUCCUCCCAGCACGGGGGGGGGGGGGAUGCGGCUGCCCCGCCUCGCCACGGGGUCGGGCUGGGGACUACGCUGGACGGAGAAUAUUCGUUAAUAUUGAAUUAUGUACAGUAUUUGGAAAGGCGAACCGUUAAUGUAGUGGAAUAGACUUCAGAAGGGCACUCGUGUCCGUCUGCAUGCGUAGCGUAGGAGUGUUGCGUGCAGGGGGAUGCCUACGGGUGAUAGCAGCGAGCGUGUGGGAUAGGUCUGGCAGUUUCUAUAGGAGCGUACGCAAGGGGCUCGCAGCACCGCGCCUGCCAGCGUAGGAACGUCAGAACAUUGCCCGAGGUUGGUUUUUUAGCAAACCCGGUUUCACUACAAGGCUCGUCUGUACUAUCAGCAGUGUGUAGGAAGGCGGGUAAUAUUAGUGUGGGUCUGCAGGACGGGGACUGUUCAGCAGCCCUUGGAUAAAUAUCAGAGCGUAGAGUAUGAUGGAGAGGUUUUUUGUUCCUCUUGUUCUUCAUUCAUGGACCAACUAUGAAACCAGCGCUUUCUUAUCUGGAGCUGUCCCAGGCUUCGGUAUUCAAACCCUGGCGAUCACUAAUCGCCUUAUUUCCCCUCCUUCAGGGAAAUUUUAACUCUUGUCCUCUGCUGCUGAGUAGAUCUUUAAGCCGGUAAUAACGUGAGACAGAGGGAAAUUAAUGGCCUCAUCCUGCCCCUUCCCUGGCUGAAAACUGCUAAAGAAUUAAAGAAUUAAAAAGGUAUAAAAUUGCAUUCACAUCUUUUUUCCUGCUGAUGAGGGGUUCCGUUUUAACGGGGUGCGAGGGAAGGUAUAGACACCUUGUGCCCUCACCCUUCCCUUUCCCUCCUCUCCGAGCCCCCGGCAGCUCCCGUGCUUGCGGGGUCGGUCGUGGGGGACGGGGACCCCGUGGUGCUGGGUUGUCUCCACCUGCCCAAGCCACCGUGGUUGCCCGGGAUGGGAUCUCUGCGGCCAAGAGCCGUUCCAGCAGCUCGUUCCCCCUUGAAGUCCGAAUUCCCAUCGUUGACAGCCGCAGAGGGAGGAGGAGGAGGAGGGCGGGUGGCCUUCCUCCACUGGCCGGGGAU